GCGAUCGUAGCUCAGUGGUAAAGUUUCUGACUGGCAAUCAGAGCUUUUGGAAAUUGCGGGUUCGAUUCCCGUGGGUGGCA